rnacentral:tRNA from 1 species
CCACCAAUGGCAGAAUGUAUAAGGCAAUGGAUUUCUAAGUCAGAGAUUGUGGGUUCAAGUCCCAUCUGGGGUG